CCUACGGGAGACAGCAGUAGGGAAUAUUGCUCAAUGGGGGAAACCCUGAAGCAGCAACGCCGCGUGGAGGAUGAAGGUUUUCGGAUUGUAAACUCCUUUUGUUAGAGAAGAUAAUGACGGUAUCUAACGAAUAAGCACCGGCUAACUCCGUGCCAGCAGCCGCGGUAAUACGGAGGGUGCAAGCGUUACUCGGAAUCACUGGGCGUAAAGAGCGCGUAGGGGGGGUAGCAAGUCAGAUGUGAAAUCCUAUGGCUUAACCAUAGAACUGCAGUUGAAACUGUUAUUAUAGAGUAUGGGAGAGGUGGGAGGAAUUUGGGGGGGAGGGGUGAAAUGCGUAGAGAGAAAGAAGAA
rnacentral:rRNA from 1 species